UACGGAGGGAGCUAGCGUUGUUCGGAAUUACUGGGCGUAAAGCGCACGUAGGCGGCUUUGUAAGUUAGAGGUGAAAGCCCGGAGCUCAACUCCGGAACUGCCUUUAAGACUGCAUCGCUUGAAUCCAGGAGAGGUGAGUGGAACUGCGAGUGUAGAGGUGAAAUUCGUAGAUAUUCGCAAGAACACCAGUGGCGAAGGCGGCUCACUGGCCCGGUACUGACGCUGAGGUGCGAAAGCGUGGGGAGCAA
rnacentral:rRNA from 1 species